rnacentral:other from 2 species
AUUUCCCUGCCUUGUUCGCGUUUGGUGCUUUAUUAUGAUUUAGAACCUAGCUGAUGAGAACGGGAGCUUCCGCUAACGGCGGUGAGCAAGCCCGCCGACCUUCGGGCCGCAUGCGGGAAGCCUAAUGCCGUGAUUGAAGCGCCCACCUAUUUUAAAUAGGUUCAAAUCUCGCAGCCCCACACGACAGAAGGUGGGGAGAAU